CCCUGAGCUUGUGCGCUAGUUGUUAGAUGAGGAUCUGACGCUCGUUCACUAUAGCGCACAAUCUGCAUGUGGCGUCAUGAGAAGCCUCUAAACUAACUUCAACUAAUUUAUCUAAUGCCUGAUUAAACGGCUGAUGAGAUGGACCCAUUUCUGCACUCACCGUCUGAGUUACGUCUAAACCGGCGGGCAGCGCCAACCUGGCAACCUGGCACCGACCUCGACCUCGUCAGACGCUGUUGGAGUCACGUUGACUGUGACGUACCGGAUCUGUUCCCAAAAGUGGAGGAAACGGAGACGCUUUUCUUUCCCGCCAACCUGCUGCGAGCGGAAUGAGGCGCGAGCGCGCGCCGCCGCGGCCGAUCGGCGCAUUGUUCGCGGGACCUGCAGGCGGGAGGCAAUUACCGGGUCACGGUGACAACCCUCACCCCUGGACGUGAUGGCAGACAUUGUCCCCGCAAGUUUGGCGGUUUGAUCCCUUUGACAAAUAUAGCAGCGUGACCCACUUUCUGCCUCAGCUUUCUUCAGGCGGAGGUAAACACGAGGAAACAGCAGUGUGACUGGAAUGACAACGUACUGCUGUAUCACCGACGCCGGAGCUCUCACGCUGCAGACAGACGCUGUCGAACAUUAAAACAUACAUUUAAAUCAGUUUAGGCUGAGAGGAACAUUACGUCCGUGGUUUUAAAGCGAGCACCAGCGUACGGUUGAUAAUGUGCGAGAGUUUUACACAUCUAGAAAGCAAGUUUCAAAACUCCCCUCCAGACGAGACGGCAGAAAAUUAACCCUAAAUGAUAAAACGAUGUUUUUAUGAAACCACUCAGUUUUCAAGUUUUGGAAAAUUACCCCACUUUGGCUUUUAUUUUGACAGGUUGGAUGUUUUUUGUGCUGUCCAAAAUGAUUACAGCUCUCACUUUAUUGGUUCAUCCUUGAAAUGGUGUUUUGAAUUCCUAUCUUUAUGAUUAGCACGUUUUUUUUUAUCUAAUCAAUGCUCUCAAUUAAAUCAAGACACUAUUGUCCAAAUUGGAAAUGUUUCAGGCCAGGAUUGAGUUGAUUGUAGCAGAUUUUCUCCUUUUCAUUGGCAGUUGUUCUGCAUGAAACUAAUUCUCUCCUCUACUGGUUUUAAAAGAACCAUAAAAAUAUUAUCUGCUGUAGUGAGUUAUUAUGUUUGUACGAUGCUGACUUUCAGGUUGGCACCGAUAACGCUUCACUUUUCACAUUUAAAGCAGGUAAACCGUCAUGUCAGUCAGUAAAUACACCAGGCAUACGUCUGGUUGUUACUGAGGCUGACUUUAAGUGUGAAGGACUACAGCUCAACAUAGAAAUGGUAAAUUCAAUCCUAAUAAACCAUCAACAGCGUCACA
rnacentral:lncRNA from 1 species